AGGUGCAGCAGGUCAGUGGAGAAGCAGACUGUGACAUCUUUGGCCAAGUUGCAAUUGUGGAACCAGCGCUUUCACGGCAGCUGUGUUUCAAGAAUCUUUAUUGGCUUUGAAACUGAGAAGAUGGAAACAUAUUUGAAUUUGGUGGUUCUGCUGUCUCUCUGCAGCAUCUCCUUGGUUCAAGAAUGUAGUACACAGCUUUUGGAGGAUGUGGAUUUCCCAAGAAACGACAUCAAAUUUGUCUACUCUCCUGAUGCUGAACACUGUCGGCAGCUUUGCACCCAGCACCCCUCCUGUGUCUUCUUUAGCUUUCUCCGGGCUGACUGGACCAAAGAUAACCGGUACAAAACAAGGAGUAAACAAGUGAUUACAAAUACUGCACUACUUCUGCUAUCUCAAAAGCAUUCCCUCUGGACAGCCCUAUCUCUGGAUUAAACUACAGGGUGCCACCUCAGGAUUUUCUCUCAAAGUCUGCACCCCAGAACCCCAGCCUUGUCUGCCAAAGGUGUACAACAACAUGGACUUCCCUGGGGCAGACUACCGGUCUUUGUUCACAGCAGACCAUGAGGAGUGCCAGAGAGCCUGCACUCAGGACCCUGCCUGUCAGUUCUUUACAUUUUUAAAUGAGUUCAUCACAGCAGAGACUAUCAGGUACAAGUGCCACCUUAACUUCAGCUGGUCAAUACCAGUGAGUCUCAUUUCCAAAAAGAAGGCUGGUUUUGUAUCUGGAUUCUCCCACAAAAUACAAGUAACUCAACAGUCUAACACAGAAUGUGAGGGCAAGCCUUUUACAAACACUGCCACACUGGGAAAGGACCUCAAGGUUCUUCCUGCUGCCUGUCCUGGUCAGGCAUUGUGCUCUGAUCAUCCAUCCUGCACCUACUUCUCUUUUGACAGGUAGUCAAAUGUAUAUCUAAGUAAUUUAACUGUCCUGAUGUGGUUAAAUAUUUGGUUCUCUUCAUCAGUCAUACCUGUUCUCUACUACAUGCUAUCUUGAAAUGUAGACACUCUUACUUCAUAAAAAUAAUCAAUUUUGCAGUAAUACCUUCCAUUGUAACCUGAAGGACAUAAAAAAAAUGAAAGGGUGACCAAGGCUAAAAAGGAAGAACAUCUGGGUCAGCUGGUUGACAGUAUUUAUGACUAAUAAAUGCUAAAACUGUCAAAGGACAUGCUUUCAGUAUACUCUCUAAGAUGGUCACGCCACAAACUCAAAGUAGUUCAAUCAUUUAAAGCAUGGGUGUCAAACUCAAGGUACAAUUAUAUCCGACCCAUGAGAAAAUAUUAUAACUGGCCCACCAGUUUUAGAAAUUAAAUCAAUGCAUGUACAACCACGGGAACAUACAUAUUUUUUUAGCCAACUACAGGCCGAUAUCUAACCUAGCCUUUCUCGCU